AGAGUUUGAUCAUGGCUCAGGACGAACGCUGGCGGCGUGCUUAACACAUGCAAGUCGAACGAGGUCCAACCGGUAGCAAUACUGGUGAAGACCUAGUGGCGAACGGGUGAGUAACACGUGAGCAACCUGCCCCGAAGACCGGGAUAACAGCGGGAAACUGCUGCUAAUACCGGAUGUCCCCAUCGGAUCGCAUGACCUGA
rnacentral:rRNA from 1 species